CAGAGAUUUAUUUAUCUGCUUUACUGCAUUUUGCUUACGUCAAGAGCUGGAUUGCUCCUGUACAGCCCCCUCGCCAGGCAGAUAAUUGCUACAUAUUCUUUUGUACUGCUGCCACCACCUCCACCAUCGGGCGUUUUCCCAAACAAUUGCCUGCGCAGCCUCGGAGCAAUCCAUCUCCCUGCUGACACUGGCAUGGCAGUGCUUUGGUGUUAGGGGUGUCCCUGGAGCAGGCUGACAUUUUGAUUCUGCCUUAAUUAAACCACUUUGGAAGCAGCAUGACUCUGUUUUGGAAUGAAUUGCACUGGUACAAGUUUUGUGCAGAGGCAUCUCUGUUUCAUAGUGACUACAUCCCUUCUGACAGUCCUCCCACAGCUAGCCCACCUUGCCUUGCUUCAGGCCUGCAUCAGGCCUCCUGCCAUCAGAUCCCUAUCGAGCAAGGGCAUCUGGAAGCUCAUUUGGGAUGAGAACUGCUCCCUUUCACCAUCCCUGCUGGCCUUCUGUGGGCAGAGAGAAAUUGAAUUCCUUUCCCAAGAGGCCAAUAAGCACCCUUAGACAGCAGUGCUUGAGAAGCAGCUGCCAUGGUGUGGAGCAGAGCUUUCUGAUGAGGAUCCUAUACCACUAAAAGGUUCCAGCAAGGUAAGUCCCAACACUAACAGAGAGCUUUGGGGGAAAAUGUCCUACAAGAUAGAAACUUGCAUCUCUGUCUUCCUUCCUCCAGUGCUGCAUUUGCAGACAGGCAGAGUUGGUGGUUCCCUGUGGCUGGCAGACUGCCUUGCUUGGACAAGGCACGUGGCAAAGCUCUCCCCAGUCCCUGGUCCCCAGUCCCUGGUCCCCAGUCCCUAUUGGGUCUGGCCAGUCUCUAUCAUGCAGAUGCUGGCAGAUACUGUUUGAGACAAUGAUUACUAAUCUAUUUCUCCCUCCUCAGCAUCAAUGAAAGAAGCAAGUCUAGUGCUUAUGCCUUCCCCCACUCACGUGAUUCAGCAUCUCCUGUUCCCACUCACAAAGUUUUCAGGUAAAUAGCUCAGGGACAACUUAAAAAAGCAAUCUGCCACCAAACUAGUGUCUCCCAGCCUUUUUAACAGUCUUCCUCUUAAUAUUUUUUUUUGGUUUUGCAGAAUUGAAUUUUACCUGUAGUAAGGAUCAGCCUUGAGCUGACUUUGCACUCUUAAGCUCUGCUGAGAGCUGAUCCUGAAUUGCAGAUUUUGCCUGGAUUUUGCAGAGUUCUCUGAGGUCGAGACCUCCUGACACUGCACAAAAAAGCCCUGAUGAGGUACCACAAAGGGGUAAUGAACACUACUGCCUGGAAAGGUGGUAGAGGCCCCAUCCCUGGAAACAGGGAUGUUGAUUGGGCUCUGAGCAAACUGAUUUAGUGGGAGAUAUCCUUUCUCACUCCAAGGGGGUUGUACUAGAUGAACUUUAAAGGUCCCUUCUAAUCCAAACUAUUCUAUGAUUCUAUGAAUCUAUGAAAGUGUCCUGAAUCCAGCUGGUCUAGCUUCCAUGUAUGGUUAAAAUUUUAAGGCCCUGGGCAGAAGGAAAAAGAGAUGGAUGCAGCUACCUAAAUCUUUCUGGCAGUCAAUGCAAAGGUGUAAGCAAUGAUAAAGAAUUCCAGAGGUUGCUGCUGUCUCCCUUAUUUGUGAUGUGUGAGGAAAGAAGAGAGGACUCACUGGAAAUGUUAGUUGUCUUCACGCCUUUGAAAUCUGCUUCAUCUGUCCUUUCCAUAAAGGCAGGAUUUUAGUACUGUAUGGUGCCAUUUGUUGUGUUCUGAAUUAUGUGGCAGCAGUUAGAGCACUUAUUUAAGAUGGGGAUUAUCUAGCUCUUAGCUUUCCUUUGAUACAGGAAGAAAUGUUCUCCCAUUUCCCAGAUCUCCAGCCCUGAUUUGCUGUAUCCUGGUCGAGAGCAAUCAACAACUCUUCUUUCCAAGCCAAACCAGGGUACAGCCUGUGGAAGAAGCAUCAAGCAGGAGGGAACCACGAGUGAUCAGUCAUCAGGCAUGCACAAGUUUUGCUAUGGCUUUCUCCUAGUUUUUAUCCAGUCACACUGAACUCCACCAGAUCUGCCCCAAUAUGGUGCAGCCACAACAACAAUAGGGAAAUGUCUGCUCCACCCUGGAGGUAUCAGGAGUCCUGGCUCAUAUGGAAGCUGAGAGAGGGUGCAGGUGCCUCUUGUUUUAUGCUUGGGUUGCUUUAGGAUCAGUAGCCUCAACCAUGCUGCCUGCACCAGCCACUGCAGCAAAGAGUGUGGGCAAAACUAAACCUGUGUGGAUUUAGCUGUCAUCAUUCAAAUAUGAAACUGUUGAAAAGGAGCAGUUUUGACAAACUGGACCAGUGUCUGAUAUUUGUAAACCAGCAUGUGUCUGUGUUCAUAUUUAUUCGCACCAUUCUUCAAUGCUCUAGUUCCUAGAUUGGUGUGAGGAUAGUUCCUUGGAAAUUAAUAACUGUUAGAGCUUUGUGGCUCAGUGAGUUGUUUACUUCCUUACAUCAUUAAUACUAUCCUUGUAGGGAGGAGGAGUGUUGAAAAUAAUAAACACUCUUUCCUUCAUUAACA
rnacentral:lncRNA from 1 species